rnacentral:rRNA from 1 species
UUUAUUGGAGAGUUUGAUCCUGGCUCAGGACGAACGCUGGCGGCGUGCCUAAUACAUGCAAGUCGAGCGGACCUUUCAAGAGCUUGCUCUUGAAAGGUUAGCGGCGGACGGGUGAGUAACACGUGGGCAACCUGCCCUGUAGACUGGGAUAACUUCGGGAAACCGGAGCUAAUACCAGAUAAUCAAUGACAUCACAUGGUGUCAUUGUAAAAGUUGGGUUUACCUAACACUACGGGAUGGGCCCGCGGCGCAUUAGCUAGUUGGUGAGGUAAUGGCUCACC